rnacentral:rRNA from 1 species
CAGUCGCCGCGGGAAUACAGAGGGUGCAAGCGUUAAUCGGAAUUACUGGGCGUAAAGCGCGCGUAGGUGGUUUGUUAAGUUGGAUGUGAAAUCCCCGGGCUCAACCUGGGAACUGCAUCCAAAACUGGCAGGCUAGAGUAGGGCAGAGGGUGGUGGAAUUUCCUGUGUAGCGGUGAAAUGCGUAGAUAUAGGAAGGAACACCAGUGGCGAAGGCGACCACCUGGGCUCAUACUGACACUGAGGUGCGAAAGCGUGGGGAGCAAACAGGAUUAGAUACCCGCGUAGUCCCUGUCUCUUAUAC